rnacentral:lncRNA from 1 species
GCCCGGUUCCAGGUAGAAUAUUGGCUCUUAGGGUUGAUAUUGCCUUGUUGUCGAAUGAGAACCUUCUUGUGACGAUCUUGCAGCCAGAACUUGUGAAUAUUCCGAAAUUAAGGUGUGGUAGCCCUCUUUUUGGAAAGUACACAGCCGCAUCAAAACAUGGAAAAAUUUUCUGAAUACUCUCUUGUUGAUUUCCAUUCUUGUUUAACUUUGCUGUGGUUCCCCAUGCUUGAAGGAACAUGCUCAGCGUGGCGGCAUCAGCAAUCCUGUGUGAAAUGCAAACGCCAAUCGCGAAUCCACCACACUUAAACACGGUAACCUGAAUGGCAAGCAAUGGAUGCAU